rnacentral:rRNA from 1 species
UUCUCAUUCGGAUCGGAGUCUGCAACCCGACUCCGUGAAGCUGGAUUCGCUGUAAUCGCGCAUCAGCCAUGGCGCGGUGAAUACGUUCCCGGGCCUUGUACACACCGCCCGUCAAGCCAUGGAAGCCGGGGGCGCUUGAAGUGCGUUGCCGCAAGGCGCGCCCUAGAGCGAAACCGGUGACUGGGGCUAAGUCGUAACAAGGUACC